GGGUGUGAAGGAUUUCUGGCUGUGAUAUUCAUCAUCCCCCCUGACUUGACAGGGUUGGUUCAGAUGCUCUGAACCAACUUGGCACUUGGCUGGCCAAGUGCCCUUCCCUAACUCUGCCCCUUGUGAAUCUCUCCUGAACCUGAAUGUUCAUUUGAAGAGAAUGACCUUACCAGCAGCAGAGACCUUCAAUCAAGGGGACAAACAGCUCUAUACCUCUGUCUAGAACCUGCAGACUGCUUUCAUUUAGCACAAGAUUCAAAAAGAAGUUAUAAUUGUUUCUAAUCAAUUUACCUUCAAAAUAUGUCUAGAGCCCAUUGAACUUGCUUUU
ensembl:misc_RNA 7SK 7SK RNA